rnacentral:rRNA from 1 species
GCCUAAGGUAUGCAAGUCGAAUGCCGAUUUAUCGGCAUGGCAGACGGCUGAGUAAUACAUGGGAAUCUACCUCAAACUCGAGAAUAGCCCAUCGAAAGGUGGUGUAAUACUCGAUAGUUCCGUUUACGGUAAAGCUCCGGCGGUUUGAGAUGAGCCCAUGUCCUAUCAGGUUGUUGGUAGGGUAAUUGCCUACCAAGCCUAUGACGGGUAGCUGGUUUGAGAGGAUGAUCAGCCAGACUGGGACUGCGAUACGGCCCAGACUCCUACGGGAGGCAGCAACUAGGAAUCAUGCGCAAUGGACGAAAGUCUGACGCUGCGACGUCGCGUGAGGGAUGAAGGUCUUCGGAUCGUAAACCUCUUUUAUCUGGGAACAAGUUCUGAGUGUACCAGAUGAAUAAGUGCCUGCCAACCACGUGCCAGAAGCAUCGGUAAUGCGUGGGGCACGAGCGUUAUCCGGAUUUACUGGGCGUAAAGAGAUGCGUAGGCGCCUUUUUAAGUCACUUGUAAAAUCUCCCCGCUCAACGGGGAAACUGCAAGUGAUACUGAAUUGGUUGAGUCAAGUAGAGGAGAGGGGAAUUCCUGGUGGAGCGGUUAAAUGCGUUGAUAUCAGGAGGAAUACCAAGUGCGAAGGCACCUCUCUGGACUUGUACUGACGCUAAGGCUCGAAAGUGUGGGGAGCAAAACGGAUUAGAUACCCGUGUAGUCCACACUGUAAACGAUCCCUGCUAGAUGUUUGC